AUUGAACGCUGGCGGAAUGCUUUACACAUGCAAGUCGAACGGCAGCACGGACUUCGGUCUGGUGGCGAGUGGCGAACGGGUGAGUAAUGUAUCGGAACGUGCCCAGUCGUGGGGGAUAACGUAGUGAAAAUUACGCUAAUACCGCAUACGAUCUAUGGAUGAAAGCGGGGGAUCGUAAGACCUUGCGCGAUUGGAGCGGCCGAUAUCAGAUUAGGUAGUUGGUGGGGUAAAGGCCCACCAAGCCAACGAUCUGUAGCUGGUCUGAGAGGACGACCAGCCACACUGGAACUGAGAAACGGUCCAGACUCCUACGGGAGGCAGCAGUGGGGAAUUUUGGACAAUGGGCGAAAGCCUGAUCCAGCCAUUCCGCGUGCAGGAUGAAGGCCCUCGGGUUGUAAACUGCUUUUGUACAGAACGAAAAGGUUUCUACUAAUACUAGGAGCUCAUGACGGUACUGUAAGAAUAAGCACCGGCUAACUACGUGCCAGCAGCCGCCGUAA
rnacentral:rRNA from 1 species